rnacentral:rRNA from 1 species
CCUACGGGGGGCAGCAGUGGGGAAUAUUGCACAAUGGGCGCAAGCCUGAUGCAGCCAUGCCGCGUGUGUGAAGAAGGCCUUCGGGUUGUAAAGCACUUUCAGCGGGGAGGAAGGCGGUGAGGUUAAUAACCUCAUCGAUUGACGUUACCCGCAGAAGAAGCACCGGCUAACUCCGUGCCUGCAGCCGCGGUAAUACGGAGGGUGCAAGCGUUAAUCGGAAUUACUGGGCGUAAAGCGCACGCAGGCGGUCUGUCAAGUCGGAUGUGAAAUCCCCGGGCUCAACCUGGGAACUGCAUUCGAAACUGGCAGGCUAGAGUCUUGUAGAGGGGGGUAGAAUUCCAGGUGUAGCGGUGAAAUGCGUAGAGAUCUGGAGGAAUACCGGUGGCGAAGGCGGCCCCCUGGACAAAGACUGACGCUCAGGUGCGAAAGCGUGGGGAGCAAACAGGAUUAGAUACCCUUGUAGUC